GACUGUGUGGCUCAAGCGUAGCGUGUCUGACUCCAGAUCCGAAGGGUGCGUGUUCAAAUCAGGUCAGAGUCA
rnacentral:tRNA from 1 species